AUUGAACGCUGGCGGCAGGCCUAACACAUGCAAGUCGAACGAGUGGCGGACGGGUGAGUAAUGUCUGGGAAACUGCCUGAUGGAGGGGGAUAACUACUGGAAACGGUAGCUAAUACCGCAUACCAUCGGAUGUUCCCAGAUGGGAUUAGCUUGUUGGUGGGGUAACGGCUCACCAAGGCGACGAUCCCUAGCUGGUCUGCGAGGAUGACCAGCCACACUGGAACUGAGACACGGUCCAGACUCCUACGGGAGGCAGGAGUGGGGAAUAUUGCACAAUGGGCGCAAGCCUGAUGCAGCCAUGCCGCGUGUAUGAAGAAGGCCUUCGGGUUGUAAAGCACUUUCAGCGGGGAGGCGUUACCCGCAGAAGAAGCAUCGGCUAACUCCGUGCCAGCAGCCGGGGUAAUUC
rnacentral:rRNA from 1 species